CUCGAGUGGCGAACGGGUGAGUAACACGUGGGUGAUCUGCCCUGCACUUCGGGAUAAGCUUGGGAAACUGGGUCUAAUACCGGAUAGGAACCAUCUUUAGUGUGGUGGUUGGAAAGUUUUUUCGGUGUAGGAUGAGCUCGCGGCCUAUCAGCUUGUUGGUGGGGUAAUGGCCUACCAAGGCGGCGACGGGUAGCCGGCCUGAGAGGGUGUACGGCCACAUUGGGACUGAGAUACGGCCCAGACUCCUACGGGAGGCAGCAGUGGGGAAUAUUGCACAAUGGGCGCAAGCCUGAUGCAGCGACGCCGCGUGGGGGAUGAAGGCCUUCGGGUUGUAAACUCCUUUCGCUAGGGACGAAGCUUUUUGGUGACGGUACCUAGAUAAGAAGCACCGGCUAACUACGUGCCAGCAGCCGCGGUAAUACGUAGGGUGCGAGCGUUGUCCGGAAUUACUGGGCGUAAAGGGCUCGUAGGUGGUUUGUCGCGUCGUCUGUGAAAUUCUGGGGCUUAACUCCGGGCGUGCAGGCGAUACGGGCAUAACUUGAGUGCUGUAGGGGUAACUGGAAUUCCUGGUGUAGCGGUGAAAUGCGCAGAUAUCAGGAGGAACGCCGAUGGCGAAGGCAGGUUAC
rnacentral:rRNA from 1 species